UACGGAGGGGGCUAGCGUUAUUCGGAAUUACUGGGCGUAAAGGGCGCGUAGGCGGCCAACUAAGUCAGACGUGAAAUCCCUCGGCUCAACCGGGGAACUGCGUCUGAUACUGGAUGGCUUGAAUUCGGGAGAGGGAUGCGGAAUUCCAGGUGUAGCGGUGAAAUGCGUAGAUAUCAGGAGGAACACCGAUGGCGAAGGCAGGUCUCUGGGCCGAUUAACUGACGCUGGAGGAGCGAAAGCGUGGGGAGC
rnacentral:rRNA from 1 species